CAGUCAAUGCAUUAAAUUGUUGAUAAUGAAACACUAUCUUCGAUGGUCAGGACAUGUAGCAAGAAUGGAAGAGUCAAGAUUCCCAUACCAAGACUUAUUCAGUGAGCUUACA